CGGCGGAGCCCCGGUGCCCCGGCUGGAGGAGCCCCAAGCUCCGGUGUCGCCCCCCCCCCCCCCCCUGGAGGAGCCCCAAGCUCCGGUGUCGCCCGCGCUGCCCGGCCCGGCCGGUCCCGCCCGGACGCUGCCCGGAUCCAGAGGAUCCCUCCAGCCUCUCCUCUCCUUCUCCUGCUCCUCCUCCUCUGAUCCCACCAGCGCUGCCUCCCCCACUCCCUUCAAUCGACGUUUCCGCUGAAAUGUGCCCGGUUCCACGGAUUUCUUUGAUCUCGCUAAGGGAAGAAGGGAGCUAUAGAAGAAAUUAGAUCGGCAUAGAAGGAGGAAAGGCGAGAGGGAAAGCACUCUCGGGAGAGGGGCUGGAGGCAAGCUGCCAUUGCUGAGGAGGGUCUCCGGUUCUCCCAGUCCUUACCCUGCCAGCUCUCUGGUCUGCCCCGUGAGCCGAGCCAUCGGCUUUGAACGGCGACAGGACCACGAGGAUGGAGCUGCGGAGAGGAGGAAAGGGCCGCUGGCUGCUCCUGGAUUAAGGUUAAAGAGGGGGAGAGACGGACGGACUUCUCACAGCUGCUGCUCCUCAAAUGUUUUAUUUCCUGCUCAGUGUAAGCCUGGAUUGACCUGCAGCAGCAGAAAAUGUCGAGCAACCACCGAUCUCCCUGAAAAGAGUAAAACCACCAGAAAAUCCACGAGGAAACCCAAAAGGGGUUGUGCGCACCUCGGCCUUCGGGCUGGAAGGACGGGGAGCUCUGGGAGGACGGUGACAGCGCUGGUGGCGAUGCGGGGGCGGUUGUAGGGCUGCUGGGACCGGGAAAUGGGCGUCGCUUUCCCAAUUCAAGUGUCUGCCCAUCCCAAGGGACAUGGAGUGACGGCAGGGAGCUGGGGGCUGUCAGACCCCUUUCCUGGAGCUGACAAACAGAGCUGGCACAGGAGCCUUUCCCAGGAGCUCAUCCUGGCAGAGGGAUGCUGCGGCUCCCCGCCAUCACACCGUGCAGGGAAUUCCCGGUGAGGCGGGACCUGCAGCCCGGGAAGGGAUGUGUGGGUGGUGUCGAGUUCGUUUAUUUUCUUAAUUAAAAAAAACAAAACACAACAAAGAGGGGGGCGGACACGGAACGGGACACGACGACUUCUUGUGUUCACCACCAGCAAAAAGCCCCGAAGCCGAGCCUCUGCUGCCCGGGGUACAACCUCCCGGCUCCGUUUUGCGGGAAAGCCGCGGGGCUGGGAGGGGCCGUGCCACCCCCCCCCCCCCCCCCCCCCCCCCCCCC
ensembl:lncRNA